rnacentral:rRNA from 1 species
UACGUAGGGGGCAAGCGUUGUCCGGAUUUAUUGGGCGUAAAGAGCGUGUAGGCGGCCAUGCAGGUCCGUUGUGAAAACUCGAGGCUCAACCUCGAGACGUCGGCGGAAACCAUCUGGCUAGAGUCCGGAAGAGGAGAGUGGAAUUCCUGGUGUAGCGGUGAAAUGCGCAGAUAUCAGGAGGAACACCAAUUGCGAAGGCAGCUCGCUGGGACGUUACUGACGCUGAGACGCGAAAGCGUGGGGAGCAAACAGG